CGCGCGGCCGGUUACCUUCUUCGUAGCCCCACUCCACCCCCUCCUCCUCUUCCUCUUCAUCCUCCUCCUUCUCCGGGAAGGCGACGGAAUCUUCGAUGAAGCUCAGCACUGCUCUGAGUUUAGGCGUUCCAUCCAACAUCACUAGAUUGCAGAUUCUCUCAGAUGGAAGAGUAGAAAAAUAACGAAAGUUGCCCGUGACUCAAAAUCUUCCUUGAAAAAUGAUGGCAAGAAAACUGUCUCAUUUGACUUAUCAUGCAGCUCCAUAGGCCCAAGAGAUGCAAUAAUGUAACAGACAAGAUCUUUUAAGGUAAUUUUAUCCAACAUUCUUAUUUGGAAGGCAUUUGAGAGGAGCACAGAGAAACCAAGUGCCCAGGUUUCCUGAUACCAGUUCUGCAAAUCCUUGCUACGCUACGCACCAAGGGACCUGCUGUCUUCAUAAAGUUGAUGUCUUCCGCAAAAACAAAACGACACAGACAAGAAGCCGGCACAGAGUAUGUUCUGUGUAUCUAUGACAGAACACCGAAGCACCCUCUAUUUGGGCAGGCUGACCUCCUCGUGGCGAAUACAGUUUGGGGAGGACGGAGAUAAUAGCCGAUUAGAACAGACCGCGCAGCCAGAUCAGGCACAUAUCCAGGCAAGCUGUCCAGGCCUUGCCGACAACCUUCUAUAGCCUCACCUCUAAAUAAACAUGUAACAGAUAUCUCAUGGAUAUCCAUUUGAAAGGUCAGCAAAUGAUUAGCCUGCCCAGAGGGCCCACGUGUUUCCAUCCAGCCCUGCGUGAUUUGAGACCAUUUCCUGCACCAGGGUGCCAGAAGACAAAUGGGAUGCAAUUUCAACUAGCCACUUGAGAAAUUCUAAUCAAACCUUCCAAAGGCUUUAACCAAAUAAACCAAUCCAAUGUGUAUUUUAAAAAUGGUCUGAGAAUGUAAAGGGCAAGGAAAGGGAAUGGGAGACAGAACAGAGUAGGGAUAUAAACAUAACAUAGAACAGCUGGAUAAGAAAUGGAAGUUUUACUCAAGUAGCUGCUGUUUUGUACAACUGGUUUGGUUAGCAUUUACUAACAGAUGAGACUUGCCUUUGCUGAAUCGAUGUGAAUAGACUGUUUCCUUCUUGGUCGGGCAGACGUGAUAUGCAGAGGAAGCAAAGUCGUAAUUUACUUGUAAGAGGAGUUACAUCAGCAUCGUGAUGGCAAAAGAUGUCCCUCAUUUUUGUCGCCCCGACAGCAAAAGUUUAGCAUCCAUGGGCAAGGGUGUGUUUGCGGUAACUGUGGCAUCCAACACCACCUGCUAAGGGAUCCAGGGCAAGUCUCACCUAUCAAUUCAUCAGGCAACAGGCAGACGGACCUUGGUCCUAGCCGUGGAUCCUGUAAUGGCACCUUAACUGGCUUCAGCCCCUCUUAGCUGUGGUCCAGAAGCUCCUGGAGAACACUGACUUAGGCAAUUGCCUGUGCACGAGAGAGCCUUUGGGGAAGUCCAGGAUUACAGAGAAGAAGUGCCAGCACACUGCUGCAGCAAAAAACCAAUUUGGCUGCCUUCGAGAUGGCAGUAAAGACUGGAGGAGAUGACGCGAGGAUAGCCACGCAGAAGUUCAAGGAACAGGAACAAUCAAGGUCACGUAACACCGCCAGAAGCUCGUAAUAAGCUUCCUGUAAGCAAACUGAACACAUGAGGAUCUGCAGUUUACCAGACAAAUAAAUCAAAAUAGCAGCUUUAAGGAAAUUCAGUAAGCUAUAAGAAAACAAAGCCAAAUUGGUACAGAAACUGUGACACAGAGUGGAGUUUCCUCAAAAAUUUUUAAUGUAAAACUACUAUAUGAUUCUUCAAUCCCAUUUCUGUGUAUGGAUCCAAAGGAAAUGGAAACAAGAUCUGGACAAAAUACCUUCACUUCCAUGUCAGUUCAGCACUAUGCACGGUAGCCAGGAUAUGGAACAACCUAAGUGUCCGUCAACAGACGAAUGGAUAAAGAAGAUGCGAUGUGUCGCAUUAUUACGUUGUGCUGUAAUGAAAUAUAUAACGGGAUAUUAUUCGGCCACAAGAAGGAGGGAAAUCCUGCCAUUUGUGACCAUAUGGAUGGACCUUGAGGUCAUGAGGCUAAAUAAGAUAAAUCGGAGAAAGACAAAGCCUGUACGGUAUCACUUCUAUGUGGAACCUAAAACUACUGAACUCAUAGAAACAAAGAGUAGAAGGGUGGUUACCAGUGGCUGAGCAGUGGGGGAAAUGGAGAAAUGUUGGUCAAAGGGUACAAACUUCCAGCUAUACGAUGAUGUCCACGCAUCAGGAAUGGGGCAGGACGUGUUGGACAUGCCUUUCCUCCGCAAGGCCUGUGGCCUCAGGUGGAACACUCAAAGUCUGGGGGCAGAAAUCACCGGAAGAUUUACUCACGUACAUCUAGUGGUUGAUUCUGGCCUUGGGUCACAGAUCUGGCCAGUCCCAGGCUUCCUUACAUCAUAGCUCUGGAUUCUGAGGAUAGGAUUUGGAAUUGAAUCCCAGUAUUAUUUUCAAGGGACAUUGUGUGAAUACUGAUGCAUCUAAAUCCCAGGUAACAAUAAGUUACAGUUAAUAGGUUUGUACUACAUCAAAUGCAUACUUACUACAGGUACCUGCAGAGAAUUCCUGACAAAUGCCAACUAUAAAAGAAAUGUUAACGGCGCAUUUAACAGAUGGAAUUUUAGAGACAAUGUAUUACUGACUAAUACCCUGCUGAUAUGCUUUAUUUCCUCAAAUAACACGCAACAGUUUCCAUCAUUUAAAUAAUAAUGACUCAUGAGAAUUCUUCCACUAUUAGAGUCAGAAGAUUGCAGGAAGCCCGAAAGAAUACUGAAUGACCACCGCGUUCCUUUACUUUUCAGGCAGCUUGUCACUUGAUGGACUAGUAUCAGUUGCUUUCCAGAACAUCCCAAAGGUGAGACUCCUACAGUCAUUGCUUUAGCUCUGUUGUCAUUCGAGGAAAUAGUCUGGUGCCCCUUCAUAGAGAACGCCUGGCUUUCCUGAGUUCCCAGCAAUGCGGACAACCCAUGUUCAAAUUCAUAAGAGAAACUCCUCAGACUUUGAACACUCUAGACUCUGUGUCAGCAGUAACUGGGCAAGACCACAUCACCAGAGGCUUAGGAGUCAAAGGAGCAAAAAUGAAACCAUAAUCAUUAAAUACUAAUGACAACUUAAUUACUUUCUCAGAGAAACAGAACCAUUUGAGACCAUCGGAAAGCAGAAAGUGAGAUAAUAAUUCAGCAAGAACUUUCAUGCUGUUCGAUGCUAAGAGUAUCUCGUGGAUGUGCCCAGCCUCUGCCCAUUGUCCUCUAAAGUUAA